ACCGCAUGGUUCGGUGUGAAAAACUCCGGUGGUGUAAGAUGGACCCGCGUCUGAUUAGCUGGUUGGUGAGGUAACGGCUCACCAAGGCGACGAUCAGUAGCCGGCCUGAGAGGGUGAACGGCCACAUUGGGACUGAGACACGGCCCAAACUCCUACGGGAGGCAGCAGUGGGGAAUAUUGCACAAUGGGGGAAACCCUGAUGCAGCAACGCCGCGUGAGUGAAGAAGUCAUUCGUGAUGUAAAGCUCUAUCAGCAGGGAAGAAAAUGACGGUACCUGACUAAGAAGCCCCGGCUAACUACGUGCCAGCAGCCGCGGUAAUACGUAGGGGGCAAGCGUUAUCCGGAUUUACUGGGUGUAAAGGGAGCGUAGACGGCGACGCAAGUCUGAAGUGAAAUGCCAGUGCUCAACACUGGAACUGCUUUGGAAACUGUGUAGCUAGAGUGCAGGAGAGGUAAGUGGAAUUCCUAGUGUAGCGGUGAAAUGCGUAGAUAUUAGGAGGAACACCAGUGGCGAAGGCGGCUUACUGGACUGUAACUGACGUUGAGGCUCGAAGGCGUGGGGAGCAAACAGGAUUAGAUACCCUGGUAGUCCACGCGGUAAACGAUGAUUACUAGGUGUCGGGGGGCUAUAGCCCUUCGGUGCCGCCGCAAACGC
rnacentral:rRNA from 1 species